rnacentral:rRNA from 1 species
AGUGAACGCUGGCGGUAGGCCUAACACAUGCAAGUCGAACGGCAGCACAGUAAGAUCUUGCUCUUACGGGUGGCGAGUGGCGGACGGGUGAGGAAUACAUCGGAAUCUACUUUUUCGUGGGGGAUAACGUAGGGAAACUUACGCUAAUACCGCAUAUGACCUACGGGUGAAAGCAGGGGAUCUUCGGACCUUGCGCGAUUGAAUGAGCCGAUGUCGGAUUAGCUAGUUGGCGGGGUAAAGGCCCACCAAGGCGACGAUCCGUAGCUGGUCUGAGAGGAUGAUCAGCCACACUGGAACUGAGACACGGUCCAGACUCCUACGGGAGGCAGCAGUGGGGAAUAUUGGACAAUGGGCGCAAGCCUGAUCCAGCCAUACCGCGUGGGUGAAGAAGGCCUUCGGGUUGUAAAGCCCUUUUGUUGGGAAAGAAAAGCAGCGGGUUAAUACCCCGCUGUUCUGACGGUACCCAAAGAAUAAGCACCGGCUAACUUCGUG